UUAGAAAACCAGGACUUGAACCUGCACUCAAUAACUCAAAAUUAUUUGUACUUCAUUAUACUAUCUCCUA
rnacentral:tRNA from 1 species